AUGAUGGAGGGAAACGCCCACCUCCUCCAGGUCAUCCGCAAAAUGCAUUUGGAAAUCACUAAACUGGAGAGAGAAAACAGGGCCCUGAGAGGAGAGCUCCAAUUCUGCGGGUGGAGAGCGCUGCAGAAGGAGCAAGAAGCAGGAGGAGAAGGUGGAGAUGGAGAAUCCAGGACCCUCGCUGCCGACAAGGAAGUGUCCGUUGGUUUACCAGCAUCCCUCUGUAGAAACGUCUUGGCUGGUCCCACGCUUGCACCAAAGGAGCAGAAAGAUAACAGCAUGACUGUACGGCGCUAUGCCAUUGCUUCGUCAGUGCAACCUGCUUCUGGCAUGAGGCCCCACAGAGCUGAUAAAAGGCCUCCAAGCAACGGGCUCCUGGAAGUGCCGGCAAGUGCUCAGCUGCCGGCUGGUCCUGCUACAACGCAACUAACCAAUGAAGAGGAAAAAGGGGUUGAAAAAAUCCCAGCCAAUCGUUUCUCCAAGAGUAAUUCCAGCAAAAUGAAGCUGUUUCAAGAGCAUGUUUAUAAAUGCAGCACGAACCCAGUGCAGGGCUCCACAGGAGGUCCUCUGCUUGACCACGGAUCAAUUCCAGCCUUCCAGGUAAUGCUCCCUGUAUCAAGCUAA
rnacentral:lncRNA from 1 species